rnacentral:rRNA from 1 species
GAUGCGUUCCAUUAGUUUGUUGGCGGGGUAACGGCCCACCAAGACUACGAUGGAUAGGGGUUCUGAGAGGAAGGUCCCCCACAUUGGAACUGAGACACGGUCCAAACUCCUACGGGAGGCAGCAGUGAGGAAUAUUGGUCAAUGGGCGAGAGCCUGAACCAGCCAAGUAGCGUGAAGGAUGAAGGCUCUAUGGGUCGUAAACUUCUUUUAUAUGGGAAUAAAGUUUUCCACGUGUGGAAUUUUGUAUGUACCAUAUGAAUAAGGAUCGGCUAACUCCGUGCCAGCAGCCGCGGUAAUACGGAGGAUCCGAGCGUUAUCCGGAUUUAUUGGGUUUAAAGGGAGCGUAGGUGGAUUGUUAAGUCAGUUGUGAAAGUUUGCGGCUCAACCGUAAAAUUGCAGUUGAAACUGGCAGUCUUGAGUACAGUAGAGGUGGGCGGAAUUCGUGGUGUAGCGGUGAAAUGCUUAGAUAUCACGAAGAACUCCGAUUGCGAAGGCAGCUCACUAGACUGUCACUGACACUGAUGCUCGAAAGUGUGGGUAUCAAACAGGAUUAGAUACCCUGGUAGUCCACACAGUAAACGAUGAAUACUCGCUGUUUGCGAUAUACAGUAAGCGGCCAAGCGAAAGCAUUAAGUAUUCCACCUGGGGAGUACGCCGGCAACGGUGAAACUCAAAGGAAUUGACGGGGGCCCGCACAAGCGGAGGAACAUGUGGUUUAAUUCGAUGAUACGCGAGGAACCUUACCCGGGCUUAAAUUGCAACAGAAUAUAUUGGAAACAGUAUAGCCGUAAGGCUGUUGUGAAGGUGCUGCAUGGUUGUCGUCAGCUCGUGCCGUGAGGUGUCGGCUUAAGUGCCAUAACGAGCGCAACCCUUAUCUUUAGUUACUAACAGGUUAUGCUGAGGACUCUAGAGAGACUGCCGUCGUAAGAUGUGAGGAAGGUGGGGAUGACGUCAAAUCAGCACGGCCCUUACGUCCGGGGCUACACACGUGUUACAAUGGGGGGUACAGAAGGCGGCUACCUGGUGACAGGAUGCUAAUCCCAAAAACCUCUCUCAGUUCGGAUCGAAGUCUGCAACCCGACUUCGUGAAGCUGGAUUCGCUAGUAAUCGCGCAUCAGCCAUGGCGCGGUGAA